UACGGGGGGAGCAAGCGUUGUUCGGAUUUACUGGGCGUAAAGGGCGCGUAGGCGGCGCAGCAAGUCACUUGUGAAAUCGCCGGGCUUAACCCGGAGCGGCCAAGUGAUACUGUCGUGCUAGAGUGCGGAAGGGGCUACUGGAAUUCUCGGUGUAGCGGUGAAAUGCGUAGAUAUCGAGAGGAACACCUGCGGCGAAGGCAGCUCGCUGGGACGUUACUGACGCUGAGACGCGAAAGCGUGGGGAGCAAACAGG
rnacentral:rRNA from 1 species